rnacentral:rRNA from 1 species
CCUCAGUAACGGCGAGUGAAGCGGUAACAGCUCAAAUUUGAAAGCUAGCUCUUUUAGGGUUCGCAUUGUAAUUUGUAGAAGAUGCUUCGGGUGUGGCCCCGGUCUAAGUUCCUUGGAACAGGACGUCAUAGAGGGUGAGAAUCCCGUAUGUGACUGGGUGCUUUCGCUCAUGUGAAGCUCUUUCGACGAGUCGAGUUGUUUGGGAAUGCAGCUCAAAAUGGGUGGUAAAUUUCAUCUAAAGCUAAAUAUUGGCCAGAGACCGAUAGCGCACAAGUAGAGUGAUCGAAAGAUGAAAAGCACUUUGGAAAGAGAGUUAAACAGUACGUGAAAUUGUUGAAAGGGAAGCGCUUGCAACCAGACUUGCGCGCUGAUGAUCAUCCGGGCUUCUGUCCGGUGCACUCGUCUGCGCUCAGGCCAGCAUCGGUUUCGGUGGUGGGAUAAAGGCCUUGGGAAUGUAGCUCCUCUCGGGGAGUGUUAUAGCCCUCGGUGCAAUGCCGCCUACCGGGACCGAGGACCGCGCUUCGGCUAGGAUGCUGGCGUAAUGGUUGUAAGCGACCCGUCUUGAAACACGGACCAAGGAGUCUAACAUCUAUGCGAGUGUUUGGGUGUCAAACCCAUACGCGUAAUGAAAGUGAACGGAGGUGAGAACCCUUAAGGGUGCAUCAUCGACCGAUCCUGAUGUCUUCGGAUGGAUUUGAGUAAGAGCAUAGCUGUUGGGACCCGAAAGAUGGUGAACUAUGCGUGAAUAGGGUGAAGCCAGAGGAAACUCUGGUGGAGGCUCGCAGCGGUUCUGACGUGCAAAUCGAUCGUCAAAUUUGCGUAUAGGGGCGAAAGACUAAUCGAACCAUCUAGUAGCU